rnacentral:lncRNA from 10 species
GGGAAUAUCACACACCAGGGCCUGUUGCAGGGUGGGAGCUAGGGGACGGAUAGCAUUAGGAGAAAUACCCAACGUAUAUGAUAGGUUGAUGGGUGCAGCAAACCACCAUGGUACGUGUAUACCUAUGCAACAAACCUGCAUGUUCUGCACCCCAGAACUUAAAAUAUAAUGAAAAAAAUUUAACAAGAACAACAAGAAAAUUUGUUCUCUGCAUCAUUUUAACUUAAAAUAUCUAUUUUUAUGAAGUUCAUUACUGCCUUUUAAAUUGUUCAAAUAUAUUUUGGGACAUUUUGAAAAUUCCUUUCUGAAAGACUUCUGGUUUGAUGUGUUAAACUAGAGUCCCAGGUCUAGGUGCACUUUUUCACUAGGCUUGAGAAGGACAUAUUGUUCAACAUGAUUUAAAUUACUUGUGAGUAUACACAAAGAAAAACAAAACUAGUGUUUUCUGUUUAGUGCCUUUAUAUUCUCUUUUAAACCACUAUUAAAAACAAAAAGCAUGACAAUGUUUUCCAAUACUUAAAUUUUUAAUUCACAAAGUACUAUUUUAUUCAAUUUAACUGCAUAUUAGAUGUAUCUUUUGAGUUACAUGCAACAGAAAAUGUUUUUUAAACAUUCCUAUAUAGACAUUUUCUGUGCUAUUUACACAGUAUAGAAAGCCCUCAGUGAGAAUUUAGGCACACAUGCUUACAAAGGAAAACAUUAUAAUUAUUAGAAAGUAUGUCAAAACAAAUCCAUGAUCCUUCACUUAAAUAAAACUAAAGAUUAUGAUAUUUCUUUCUUUAAAAGCACAAAGACAGUUCAUAAAAUGCUAUAGUUAUAAACAUUAUGUGCUAUGAUUGUGCAGCAUUAAAUAGUAUUGUUACAUAUGUAAUAAAUCUAACAUUGUGCUACAUUAUUUUCUAAAGUAAAUUAAAAAUUAAAUAGCAAAAUCAGUUUUUAUAAACAAAGUUUUUGAACAUAAUAAGCCAACACAUAAAAAAUAAUAUACAUAGUUGUUGCAGGUUAAUCAUGUGAUUAAAAGUAAUUUUGACAAUGUUAUUCAUGAAUUAUCUUCACUGACUUCAUAAACAAAUUUUAUUGUAAAAGCAUAAUCACGCAUUCAUGAUUCACUGAGAAUCACACAGACAUUAUUAUUAUGACACAUGAAUCAGAAGAUAUGCAAGUCCAAAGAAUUCUCCGGUGCAUUCCAUAGGCCAGCAAAAACAUGACUUUGCCAGCUUCUCUUACAAUUUGUGAAUCAUACUUUUGAAUGCCAAUAAAUCUCAACCUAUUAGAUGCUUUUGGGAAUUAAUAAAACUUUAAGCUUACUAAACUGUCUCAUUAUAGGCAGUUUAUAGUGAGACUCACCUGACAUUUACUUAAAAUGGCUAUUUCCCUAUGUUUUCUAAAAAUGGCUAUUUCCCUGAAAGUUGAUUGUUUUAUUUUUAUUAUUAUUAUACUUUAAGUUUUAGGGUACAUGUGCACAAUGUGCAGGUUAGUUACAUAUGUAUACAUAUUUAUCAUUCACUUGUUGCAGAUGCUACUGCUGUGUCUAUGGCAGACUAUCCAUAAUGUACUUAAAUUCUCUCUGCAGGCUAAAUGUAUGACCAGAGAGUAUUUUCUGCCUGUUGUCCUGGGGAAAUCAUAAAUAGCACCUUCUUUCACUUUCAGUGGUUGGAUGAUAAAUUUUAUGGCCACCCUCCCAA